UACGGGGGGAGCAAGCGUUGUUCGGAUUUAUUGGGCGUAAAGAGCUCGUAGGCGGUUCGGCAAGUCGGAUGUGAAAUCUCCACGCUCAACGUGGAGGGGCCAUUCGAAACUGCCGUGACUCGAGUCCGGUAGGGGAGUGUGGAAUUCCCGGUGUAGCGGUGAAAUGCGCAGAUAUCGGGGGGAACACCAGUAGCGAAGGCGGCACUCUGGGCCGGUACUGACGCUGAGGAGCGAAAGCGUGGGGAGCAAACAGG
rnacentral:rRNA from 1 species